CCGGCGGUCAAAUAAUUCGAUGUUCAUGAGUUCAUGAGCACAUGAACACUCGAAUCGACCCUCGAAGGUUAUUUCACCGAAUUUUCCUAUGGCCGGCGGAAAAUCAAUACAUUGGCCAUCCAAGUAGGAGGGUGUCAAGAAACCCCUGCUGACAGUUCCAAUGCAAUGACCCGACUCCCCAACUAGACAACCGUAAUCGAAAGAAAAUCCGAAGUCCACAACACUCCCGAACAAUGGAAAACUAAGUGAAGCCGAAAUCCUUUGAGAAAUUAGUUGGCUCGACCAAGUGGCUUUUCACUUCUGUGGGCAAUCUCCAGCUGGUGGCAAGCGCUCCCCGUGACUGCGGUUUUAUAAGCUAACCAGGUCGGAACACAACUUAAUCUUGGCAAGCAAAUCCCCAGAACUCCACGACCCAUCUACGUACGCACGGUACGGUUUGGGUUUGCUAUGGAUUUGGUAUAUUUAGCUGUGUGUGUUUCGUUUGCAUUUGGCUGCUUCGUCCGUACUUGUCUGUCCUUCUGUACUUCUAAUACAUACCACAAUAAAUGAAUUUGGAAAUAUGCCAUGUA